CGCACAUUGCACCCAUUGGCAUUCCGAUGGGUAUGCCUGUUCGAGCGUCAUUAUCCUCUCUCCAACCUCCUGGUUGGGCGUUGGGCCGCGUUCGGGGUUUCGCCCCGCAACUGGUCUCAAAGACAAUGACGGCGUCCGUGGGACCCUCUUCGCAACGAGUCUUUCGAGGCACGCGGGGAGUUGCAAGGUCCCGUCGGGUCGGUCUAACCCUUUUAUUUUUAUAAGGUUGACCUCGGAUCAGGUAGGAAUACCCGCUGAACUUAA
rnacentral:misc_RNA from 1 species